GACGAACGCUGGCGGCGUGCCUAAUACAUGCAAGUCGAGCGGACUUGACAGAGCUUGCUCUGUUCAAGUUAGCGGCGGACGGGUGAGUAACACGUGGGCAACCUGCCCUGCAGAUUGGGAUAACUCCGGGAAACCGGGGCUAAUACCGAAUAACAUGGAAAACCUCAUGGUUUUCUUUUAAAAGGCGGCUUCGGCUGUCACUGCAGGAUGGGCCCGCGGCGCAUUAGCUAGUUGGUGAGGUAACGGCUCACCAAGGCGACGAUGCGUAGCCGACCUGAGAGGGUGAUCGGCCACACUGGGACUGAGACACGGCCCAGACUCCUACGGGAGGCAGCAGUAGGGAAUCUUCCGCAAUGGACGAAAGUCUGACGGAGCAACGCCGCGUGAGUGAAGAAGGUUUUCGGAUCGUAAAACUCUGUUGUUAGGGAAGAACAAGUACCGGAGUAACUGCCGGUACCUUGACGGUACCUGACCAGAAAGCCACGGCUAACUACGUGCCAGCCGCCGCAGUAAGAC
rnacentral:rRNA from 1 species